rfam:Triticum urartu cultivar G1812 contig546336, whole genome shotgun sequence.
AAUGUACUCCCUCCGUCCAGAAAUACUUGUCGAAGAAAUGGAUAAAAAUGGAUGUAUCCAGAACCAAAAUACAUCUAGAUACAUCCAUUUCUCCGAUAAGUAUUUAUGGACGGAGGAAGUAAUAA